rfam:Ixodes scapularis strain Wikel colony gcontig_1107728644340, whole genome shotgun sequence.
CCCUAGUUAGCUCACUUGGUAGAGCGCUCAACCUGUAAUGGAGAGGUCCCGAGUUCGAUACCCGGACCAGGCG